rnacentral:rRNA from 1 species
UACGUAGGGUGCAAGCGUUGUCCGGAAUUAUUGGGCUGAUGAAAGAGCUCGUAGGCGGCUUGUCGCGUCGGACUGUGAAAACCUAGGGCUCAACCUGGGCCUGCAGACCGAGUACGGGCAAGCUAGAAUUCGGUAGGGGAGACUGGAAUUCCUGGUGUAGCGGUGAAAAUGCGCAGAUAUCAGGAGGAACACCCGGUGGCGAAGGCGGUUCUCUGGGCAUUACCUGACGCUGAGGAGCGAAAGUGUGG